UUCACAAAACAUUGACCAGUACCCAUGGAUAACACUGUAACCAACUUCAAACUGACCUUCAUUUAAUCAGUAACCCCAAUGUUUUGUCUCCUAGCAAAAAACCCCAAGAAUAUGACAUUUUUCAUGUUAUGUCAACUAUGGUAUUAACAGCUUAUUGUGAAGCGGUUGGCAUGACACCUUGUGUGAAAAGUAAGUUUAUCAAAUUUGCACAUACUCCUAGGAUUCCGAGCUAAGUGACCAAUCCCACAACUGUUCAUGCGUAGUUCUCAAUAUGGUUCUUUUCUUAGACUAAUCCCCUCAUUUAGUAGCAGGCAGACCUGUCUAUAUAAAGAAAGAUAAAAAAUAGUUACCAACACUUGUACAGCUACUCCACACUAGCCAUCACUUGUACAGGUCCUGCAGACUUAACAAACACUCAUAUAGGUCAUGUAGAUUAGCCAUCACUCGUACAGGUCCUGCAGACUUAACAAACACUCAUAUAGGUCAUGUAGAUUAGCCAUCUCU